rnacentral:rRNA from 1 species
CAAGGAUUCCCCUAGUAACUGCGAGUGAAGCGGGAAAAGCUCAAAUUUAAAAUCUGGCGGUCUUUGGCCGUCCGAGUUGUAAUCUAGAGAAGUGUUAUCCGCGCUGGACCGUGUACAAGUCUCCUGGAAUGGAGCGUCAUAGAGGGUGAGAAUCCCGUCUUUGACACGGACUGCCAGGGCUUUGUGAUGCGCUCUCAAAGAGUCGAGUUGUUUGGGAAUGCAGCUCAAAAUGGGUGGUAAAUUCCAUCUAAAGCUAAAUAUUGGCGAGAGACCGAUAGCGAACAAGUACCGUGAGGGAAAGAUGAAAAGAACUUUGGAAAGAGAGUUAAACAGUACGUGAAAUUGCUGAAAGGGAAACGCUUGAAGUCAGUCGCGUUGGCCGGGGAUCAACCUUGCUUUUGCUGGGUGUACUUUCCGGUCGACGGGUCAGCAUCAAUUUUGACCGUUGGAUAAAGUCUAGGGGAAUGUGGCAUCUUCGGAUGUGUUAUAGCCCUUGGUCGCAUACAACGAUUGGGAUUGAGGAACUCAGCACGCCGCAAGGCCGGGUACUUGUACCACGUUCGUGCUUAGGAUGCUGGCAUAAUGGCUUUAAUCGACCCGUCUUGAAACACGGACCAAGGAGUCUAACAUGCCUGCGAGUGUUUGGGUGGAAAACCCGAGCGCGUAAUGAAAGUGAAAGUUGAGAUCCCUGUCGCGGGGAGCAUCGACGCCCGGACCAGACCUUUUGUGACGGUUCCGCGGUAGAGCAUGUAUGUUGGGACCCGAAAGAUGGUGAACUAUGCCUGAAUAGGGUGAAGCCAGAGGAAACUCUGGUGGAGGCUCGUAGCGAUUCUGACGUGCAAAUCGAUCGUCAAAUUUGGGUAUAGGGGCGAAAGACUAAUCGAACCAUCUAGUAGCUGGUUCCUGCCGAAGUUUCCCUCAGGAUAGCAGAAACUCAUUUCAGAUUUAUGUGGUAAAGCGAAUGAUUAGAGGCCUUGGGGUUGAAACAACCUUAACCUAUUCUCAAACUUUAAAUAUGUAAGAACGAGCCGUCUCUUGAUUGGACCGCUCGGCGAUUGAGAGUUUCUAGUGGGCCAUUUU